UUGAAAGGGAAACAAUUGAAGUCAGUCGGACCCGCGGGAAAUCAACCUUUCGAGUGGGGUUUUGGAGUUUUGAAGUGUGUCAAAACCUUUGAGAUUCCNAAAUUUUCGCUCUUUUGGUGUACUUUCUCGUGGGUAGGUUAACAUCGAUUUUGAUCAUCAUAAAAAGAUUGGAGGAAUGUAGCUUCGAUCUUGUAUUGAAGUGUUAUAGCCUUUGGUAAAUGUGAUGAUUAGGAUCGAGGAUUGCAACGAAUACCCUUUUGGGCUAUCCGCCUGAUCUCUGAUACGUGGCCUUGGUAUCGAAAGCUUGCUUAUGGUAUUAAGGUAUUACGGUCAAAAGGUUAGAACGGAUUACAUUCGUUAAGGAUGUUGACGUA
rnacentral:rRNA from 1 species